AUUGAACGCUGGCGGCAGGCCUAAAACAUGACAGUCGAACGAGGAGCGGACGGGUGAGAAAUGUCUGAGAAAAGGCCCGAUGGAGGGGGCUAACGACUGGAAACGGUAGCUAAUACCGCAUAACAUCAGAUGUGACCAGAUGGGAUUAGCUAGUUGGUGGGGUAACGGCUCACUAAGGCGACGCUCCCUAGCUGGUCUGAGAGGAUAGCCCGCCACACUGGAACUGGGACGCGGUCCAGACUACUACGGGAGGCAGCAGUGGGGAAUAUUGCACAAUGGGCGCAAGCCUGAUGCAGCCAGGCCGCGUGGAUGAAGAAGGCCUUCGGGUUGUAAAGUACUUUCAGCGGGGAGGCUUUACCCGCAGAAGAAGCACCGGCUAACUCCGUGCACGCAGCCGCGGUAAUUC
rnacentral:rRNA from 1 species